UUGAGAGCAGUGUCUGAGGGGAAGGUCUCUGCUAACAAUGGCUCUGAGAAAACAGGGUUUUAGUCGACAUUUUGUGACCUGCUGCUUGGCUCCAGUCACUGUCCAUGAUUGCUCUUGAUAUGUCCAAUGAUGGAUGGUAAUUAGGAAGACUGGAGAGCUCCUCAUUCCCAUAGAUAGUCACAAGGACUGAGGAAGAGUGGGGUUGGGAUUACAUAGGUAGAUGGCAUUUUAUGAGCAAAGAUGGAAAACUAAUCCUGUUCUUGCUGCAAAGCCUGUGUGACAAGGCAAUUCAUUCUCUGUACCAAUUCAUUCCUUAAUCAUCUUCUGAGAAUACCUUUAACAAUGCCAACUUUGUUGAAGAUUUGUGAUGUGGACAUAACCAGUUGGAACUGGACUGAAACCAUCAAUUCAUUUUGCACAGGAUACAAAGCAGCCAUUGGGUAGCCAUGACUUUUCAGCCUUUACUGAAGGGGCAGAAAUGAGCUAGCUGUCUUUACACGAAAGGCACUAUCAUCUGUCUGAGCCAUCACAGAAGGAAGCCUUUUGGAAUAGAAAUUUGUAGGUAGUGAAGAAUCUGUGGAUUCAGAGAACAGAUAAUGUAAAUUAUACUGUGAUUAACAGCUGGCUUAAAGGUUAAGGGAGCUCUUGGCAAAAGGAAUCAUUAUGAUCAUCUAUUCACUCCUCUUCAACAUCUGACCCAGAGAGGUUGCAGAAUUUGAAUCCAGUUUUACACUGAAGCAUUGGACUCUGCAAAUUGUGAAAGUGAAAGCAGGAGCCUGCUGCUCACACCUGAAUUUGGGGCAUGAAAAUGGCUUUGCACACCUCUGAUGGAAGAAAAGAAGACCGUUUUAAGCACUUUACUUACCUCAUUCGGCCGCAGUCUGACAACAAAGACUGAUACAGCUUGCAACAACUUGCACCAAGUAGGCAGAUGUAACUACCCUAGAACAGCAUUAAAGUAUGUUAGUUGCAACUGCUCUGUGGAUAAAUUAUGGAUUUCAGUCCCAAGGGAUGUCAAGUUUGCAUCUUUCACUAGUGCUAA